GGCGAGUUCCUCGGGUACCUGGUC
rnacentral:siRNA from 1 species